CGUAGGGUGCAAGCGUUAAUCGGAAUUACUGGGCGUAAAGCGUACGCAGGCGGCUUUGCAAGACAGGUGUGAAAUCCCCGGGCCUAACCUGGGAACUGCAUUUGUGACUGCAUGGCUAGAGUUUGUCAGAGGGGGGUGGAAUCCCACGUGUAGCAGUGAAAUGCGUAGAUAUGUGGAGGAACACCGAUGGCGAAGGCAGCCCCCUGGGAUGUGACUGACGCUCAUGUACGAAAGCGUGGGGAGCAAACAGGAUUAGAUACCCUGGUAGUCCACGCCCUAAACGAUGUCGACUAGUUGUCGGAGGGUAACUCCUUCGGUAACGCAGCUAACGCGUGAAGUCGACCGCCUGGGGAGUACGGUCGCAAGAUUA
rnacentral:rRNA from 1 species